rnacentral:rRNA from 1 species
AGCAAGUUCAUAAGAGCAAACGGUGAAUGCCUUGGCAUCUGGAGCCGAAGAAGGACGUCGUAAUCUGCGAUAAGCCUCGGGGAGCUGAUAAACGAGCUGUGAUCCGAGGAUUUCCGAAUGGGGAAACCCCGCCAGGCCCCUUGUGGUGACCUGGUGACUCCCGCCUGAAUAUAUAGGGCGGGUAGAGGGAACGUGGGGAAGUGAAACAUCUCAGUACCCACAGGAAGAGAAAACAACAGUGAUUCCGUCAGUAGUGGCGAGCGAACGCGGAAGAGGCUAAACCGAGUCAUGUGUGAUACCCGGCAGGGGUUGCAUGGCCGGGGUUGUGGGACUUUUCGUUCCGGUCUGCCGGCCGGUGAACGUUACAGCGCAUCAUAGACGAACAGGUUUGAACGCCUGGCCAGAGCGGGUGCGAGCCCCGUAGUCGAAAUGGUGUUAUGGCGUGAAGAGUAUCCCAAGUAGCACGGGGCCCGAGAAAUCCCGUGUGAAUCUGUCAGGACCACCUGAUAAGCCUAAAUACUCCCAGAUGACCGAUAGCGGACAAGUACCGUGAGGGAAAGGUGAAAAGUACCCCGGGAGGGGAGUGAAAUAGUACCUGAAACCGUUUGCUUACAAACCGUCGGAGCCUCCUUGU